AUUGAACGCUGGCGGCAGGCUUAACACAUGCAAGUCGAGCGGUAGCACAGGGGAGCUUGCUCCCUGGGUGACGAGCGGCGGACGGGUGAGUAAUGUCUGGGAAACUGCCUGAUGGAGGGGGAUAACUACUGGAAACGGUAGCUAAUACCGCAUAACGUCGCAAGACCAAAGAGGGGGACCUUCGGGCCUCUUGCCAUCAGAUGUGCCCAGAUGGGAUUAGCUAGUAGGUGGGGUAAUGGCUCACCUAGGCGACGAUCCCUAGCUGGUCUGAGAGGAUGACCAGCCACACUGGAACUGAGACACGGUCCAGACUCCUACGGGAGGCAGCAGUGGGGAAUAUUGCACAAAGGGCGAAAGCCUGAUGCAGCCAUGCCGCGUGUGUGAAGAAGGCCUUCGGGUUGUAAAGCACUUUCAGCGAGGAGGAAGGUGGUGAGCUUAAUACGUUCAUCAAUUGACGUUACUCGCAGAAGAAGCACCGGCUAACUCCGUG
rnacentral:rRNA from 1 species